rnacentral:rRNA from 1 species
CCAGACUCCUACGGGAGGCAGCAGUGGGGGAUAUUGGACAAUGGGGGGAACCCUGAUCCAGCGACGCCGCGUGAGUGAAGAAGUAUCUCGGUAUGUAAAGCUCUAUCAGCAGGGAAGAAAGAAAUGACGGUACCUGAGUAAGAAGCCCCGACUAACUACGUGCCAGCAGCCGCGGUAAUACGUAGGUGGCAAGCGUUGUCCGGAUUUACUGGGUGUAAAGGGCGUGUAGCCGGGCUGACAAGUCAGAUGUGAAAUUCCGGGGCUCAACCCCGGACCUGCAUUUGAAACUGUUGGUCUUGAGUAUCGGAGAGGCAGGCGGAAUUCCUAGUGUAGCGGUGAAAUGCGUAGAUAUUAGGAGGAACACCAGUGGCGAAGGCGGCCUGCUGGACGACAACUGACGGUGAGGCGCGAAAGCGUGGGGAGCAAACAGGAUUAGAUACCCGCGUAAU